AGUGAAUAGAUACCCUGGUAGUCCAUGCCGUAAACGAUGAUUACUAGGUGUGGGGGGUCUGACCCCUUCCGUGCCGGAGUUAAACACAAAUAAGUAAUCCACCUGGGGAGUACGGCCGCAAGGUUGAAACUCAAAGGAAUUGACGGGGGCCCGCACAAGCAGUGGAGUAUGUGGUUUAAUUCGAAAGCAACGCGAAGAACCUUACCAGGUCUUGGCAUCCAACUAACGAGGCAGAGAUGCAUUAGGUGCCCUUCGGGGAAAGUUGAGACAGGUGGUGCAUGGUUGUCGUCAGCUCGUGUCGUGAGAUGUUGGGUUAAGUCCCGCAACGAGCGCAACCCUUGUGAUUAGUUGCUACGCAAGAGCACUCUAAUCAGACUGCCGUUGACAAACGGAGGAAGGUGGGGACGACGUCAAAUCAUCAUGCCCUUUAUGACCUGGGCUACACACGUACUACAAUGGCUGUUAACAAAGGGAAGCAAGACCGAGAGGUGGAGCAAAACCUAAAAACCAAGUCUCAGUUCGGAUCGCAGGCUGCAACCC
rnacentral:rRNA from 1 species